UUGGUUAAGCUAAUAAGAGCACACGGAGGAUGCCUAGGCGCCAGGAGCCGACGAAGGACGUGGCGAACAACGAAACUGCCUCGGGGAGCUGUAAGCAAGCUUUGAUCCGGGGGUGUCCGAAUGGGGAAACCCAGCUGUGGUAAUUCGCAGUUACUUCUCUCUGAAUACAUAGGGGAGAUAGAGGCAGACCAGGGGAACUGAAACAUCUAAGUACCCUGAGGAAGAGAAAACAAUAGUGAUUCCGUCAGUAGCGGCGAGCGAACGCGGAACAGCCUAAACCAAGGGGCUUGCCCCUUGGGGUUGUGGGACGUCUCACAUGGAGUUACAAAGGAAUAUGGUAGGCGAAGAGGUCUGGAAAGGCCCGCGAUAGAGGUAAAAGCCCUGUAGCCUAAACUGUGUUCUCUCCGAGACGGAUCCCGAGUAGUGCGGGGCACGUGAAACCCCGUAUGAAUCCAGCAGGACCAUCUGCUAAGGCUAAAUACUACCUGGCGACCGAUAGUGAAACAGUACCGUGAGGGAAAGGUGAAAAGCACCCCGGAAGGGGAGUGAAAUAGAACCUGAAACCGUGUGCUUACAAAAAGUCAGAGCCCUAUUAAUGGGUGAUGGCGUGCCUUUUGUAGAAUGAACCGGCGAGUUACGUUUAACAUGCAAGGUUAAGGUGAGAAGCCGGAGCCGCAGCGAAAGCGAGUCUGAAUAGGGCGACUUAAGUAUGUGGACGUAGACCCGAAACCGUGUGAUCUACCCCUGUCCAGGGUGAAGGUGCGGUAACACGCACUGGAGGCCCGAACCCACGUAUGUUGAAAAAUGCGGGGAUGAGGUGGGGGUAGCGGAGAAAUUCCAAUCGAACUCGGAGAUAGCUGGUUCUCCCCGAAAUAGCUUUAGGGCUAGCCUCGGUGAAUGGAGUGGUGGAGGUAGAGCACUGAUUGGGUGCGGGGCCCGCAAGGGUUACCAAGCUCAGUCAAACUCCGAAUGCCAUUAACUUCUUGCCGGGAGUCAGACAGUGAGUGCUAAGAUCCAUUGUCAAAAGGGAAACAGCCCAGACCAUCAGCUAAGGUCCCCAAGUGUGUGUUAAGUGGGAAAGGAUGUGGAGUUGCACAGACAACCAGGAUGUUGGCUUAGAAGCAGCCACCAUUGAAAGAGUGCGUAAUAGCUCACUGGUCGAGUGACUCUGCGCCGAAAAUGUAACGGGGCUAAACACACCACCGAAGCUAUGGCUAGAUGCUUUGCAUCUGGGGUAGGGGAGCGUUGUAUGCAGGUUGAAGGUGUACCGUAAGGAGCGCUGGACAGCAUACAAGUGAGAAUGCCGGUAUGAGUAACGAAAAGAUCAGUGAGAAUCUGAUCCGCCGAAAGCCCAAGGUUUCCUGAGGAAGGCUCGUCCGCUCAGGGUAAGUCGGGACCUAAGGCGAGGCCGAAAGGCGUAGUCGAAGGACAACAGUUUGAAAUUACUGUACCACCGUAAUCCGCUAUGAGCGAUGGGGUGACGCAGGAGGGUAGUGACGCGGACUGAUGGAUGUCCGUCUAAGCAGUGAGGCUGGUGUGUAGGCAAAUCCGCACACCGUUAAGGCUGGGCUGUGAUGGGGAGCGAAAAUUAUAGUAGCGAAGGUCAUGAUCUCACACUGCCAAGAAAAGCCUCUAGCCAGGAGAAGGUGCCCGUACCGCAAACCGACACAGGUAGGCGAGAAGAGAAUUCUAAGGCGCGCGGAAGAACUCUCGUUAAGGAACUCGGCAAAAUGACCCCGUAACUUCGGGAGAAGGGGUGCCUCGGUAGGGUGAAUAGCCCGAGGGGGCCGCAGUGAAAAGGCCCAAGCGACUGUUUAGCAAAAACACAGGUCUGUGCGAAGCCGCAAGGCGAAGUAUACGGGCUGACGCCUGCCCGGUGCUGGAAGGUUAAGGGGAGCGGUUAGGAGUAAUCCGAAGCUGUGAACCGAAGCCCCAGUAAACGGCGGCCGUAACUAUAACGGUCCUAAGGUAGCGAAAUUCCUUGUCAGGUAAAUUCUGACCCGCACGAAUGGCGUAACGACUUGGGCGCUGUCUCAACGAGAGAUCCGGUGAAAUUUUAAUACCUGUGAAGAUGCAGGUUACCCGCGACAAGACGGAAAGACCCCAUGGAGCUUUACUGCAGCUUGAUAUUGAAUUUGGGUACGAUCUGUACAGGAUAGGUGGGAGCCGUAGAGGCAGGAGCGCAAGCUUCUGCGGAGGCGCCGUUGGGAUACCACCCUGAUCGUAUCUAGGUUCUAACCUGGUACCCUAAUCGGGUACGGGGACCGUGUCAGGCGGGCAGUUUGACUGGGGCGGUCGCCUCCUAAAGAGUAACGGAGGCGUUCAAAGGUUCCCUCAGAAUGGUUGGAAAUCAUUCGAAGAGUGCAAAGGCAUAAGGGAGCUUGACUGCGAGACCUACAAGUCGAGCAGGGACGAAAGUCGGACUUAGUGAUCCGGUGGUACCGCAUGGAAGGGCCAUCGCUCAACGGAUAAAAGCUACCCUGGGGAUAACAGGCUUAUCUCCCCCAAGAGUCCACAUCGACGGGGAGGUUUGGCACCUCGAUGUCGGCUCAUCGCAUCCUGGGGCUGAAGUAGGUCCCAAGGGUUGGGCUGUUCGCCCAUUAAAGCGGUACGCGAGCUGGGUUCAGAACGUCGUGAGACAGUUCGGUCCCUAUCUGUCGUGGGCGCAGGAAAUUUGAGAGGAGCUGUCCUUAGUACGAGAGGACCGGGAUGGACGUACCGCUGGUGCAUCAGUUGUUCCGCCAGGAGCAUGGCUGAGUAGCUACGUACGGACGGGAUAAGCGCUGAAAGCAUCUAAGCGUGAAGCCCCCCUCAAGAUGAGAUUUCCCAAUUAGUAAGACCCCUUGAAGACGACGAGGUAGAUAGGUUGGAGGUGGAAGUGCAGCAAUGCAUGGAGCUGACCAAUACUAAUCGGUCGAGGGCUUAUCCAAG
rnacentral:rRNA from 1 species